CCUACGGGAGACAGCAGUGGGGAAUAUUGCACAAUGGGGGAAACCCUGAUGCAGCGACGCCGCGUGAGUGAAGAAGUAAUUCGUUAUGUAAAGCUCUAUCAGCAGGGAAGAAAAUGACGGUACCUGAGUAAGAAGCCCCGGCUAACUACGUGCCAGCAGCCGCGGUAAUACGUAGGGGGAAAGCGUUAUCCGGAUUUACUGGGUGUAACGGGAGCGUAGAGGGCAGUGCAAGACUGGAGUGAAAGGCGGGGGCUCAACCCCCGGACUGCUCUGGAAACUGUACGGCUGGAGUGCAGGAGAGGUAAGUGGAAUUCCUAGUGUAGCGGUGAAAUGCGUAGAUAUUAGGAGGAACACCAGUGGCGAAGGCGGCUUACUGGACUGUAACUGACGUUGAGGCUCGAAAGCGUGGGGAGCAAACAGGAUUAGAUACCCUAGUAGUC
rnacentral:rRNA from 1 species